UCGACGCGAACGCUUUCUUCGGAAGUUAGUAGAGUGGCGCACGGGUGAGUAACGCGUAAGUAAUCUACCCUCGCAUUUGGGAUAACCCACCGAAAGGUGUGCUAAUACCAAAUACGUCUAUUUUAAUACUUUUGUCAUAGAGAAAGGUGGCCUCUUCUUGAAAGCUACUGUGCGGGGAGGAGCUUGCGUACCAUUAGCUAGUUGGUAGGGUAACGGCCUACCAAGGCAACGAUGGUUAGCGGGUCUGAGAGGAUGAUCCGCCACACUGGAACUGGAACACGGACCAGACUCCUACGGGAGGCAGCAGUGAGGAAUAUUGCGCAAUGGGGGCAACCCUGACGCAGCGACGCCNCCCCCNNAAGAAAGAAAA
rnacentral:rRNA from 1 species